rnacentral:rRNA from 1 species
GACGAACGCUGGCGGCGUGCCUAAUACAUGCAAGUAGAACGCUGAAGGAGGAGCUUGCUCUUCUGGAUGAGUUGCGAACGGGUGAGUAACGCGUAGGUAACCUGCCUGGUAGCGGGGGAUAACUAUUGGAAACGAUAGCUAAUACCGCAUAACAGUAGAUGUUGCAUGACAUUUGCUUAAAAGGUGCAAUUGCACCACUACCAGAUGGACCUGCGUUGUAUUAGCUAGUUGGUGGGGUAACGGCUCACCAAGGCGACGAUACAUAGCCGACCUGAGAGGGUGAUCGGCCACACUGGGACUGAGACACGGCCCAGACUCCUACGGGAGGCAGCAGUAGGGAAUCUUCGGCAAUGGACGGAAGUCUGACCGAGCAACGCCGCGUGAGUGAAGAAGGUUUUCGGGUCGUAAAGCUCUGUUGUAAGAGAAGAACGAGUGUGAGAGUGGAAAGUUCACACUGUGACGGUAGCUUACCAGAAAGGGACGGCUAACUACGUG